GCCCGCCUGCCUGCCUUCUUCCCUCCUUCACUCCCUCCCUUUCUCCUGCAGGCUUUUGAAAAACACUAAAUGCAAGGAGAGGCUUUCUCUGAACUCCCUUUAUCUGCCUAAAGACAGAUCUUCUGAAAAGAGCUCAGUAGUCACAGAUUUCUUCCCCGGGAGUUCACUCAGACAGGGGGGACUGACUCAUCAUGGGAGAGGAGAGUAAAGGUUGAUGUCAUAUCCAGAAAAACUUUGUCACAAACUAUCCUACUUCUCAUCUCUUCUUCUAAGGGCCCAUCCAUCUUUCCUAAAGAUUGUUUGUUCUCCCUUAACUUAUGCCCCUUCACUUUUUUUUUACCAAGAAGGUGUUAAUCCUGAAAUCAAAGUCACUUCUUUGACUUACCCAUUUUCCCCUGGGUGUCUUCCAUGUGUACAGUUUUAUAAACUUCUGUGUGUUUUUUUCUCUUGUUAACUUGUCUUUUAUUAUGGGAAUCUCAGCUAAGAACUCAGAAGUGUAGAAGGAAAAUCAUUUUCCUUCCCCUCGUACCCAAGCCCUUAGGUAAUGCAAACAGGUGUCGGUUCCUUUCCACAGUGGCCACAGCAUCAACUCAUGUACUUACUACCCUGGUUUCCAGUUGUUUCUCCUUGUUUGUGGCCACGGGGAAUUUCCUUUACUUUUAGUAUUCUCAGAUAAAAAAUUUAUCAGGAUGUUUAUUUAUUUUAUCUAGUGUUUGAAGGUGUUUAGUAGAUGGAGGAUUCAUUUUAUUCAGUCUAUAAUGUUGCUGAAACGAGCAUCUAACCAGUUUUUCUAAUCAAAUAUUUGUGCGGCUGCUGGGCCCCUAGGACACCCAACACCUCACUGAUCGGGAAAAGGCCCGGGCAGGGAGUCCCAAUGACCAGACCCUACAUGCUCUUCUGCCCUCAACGACCAUGUCGUGAUGAAUGUGAGACGUCUCUCAGCACCACUCAAGGCAUGGGCUCAGGGGGAAGACAACCAUGGCGGAGUACUUCCGGUGAAUUUUCCUGGACUCAGUAGGUCUCUCAGCGUCUUCUGCUUGUGACGCUGACAGACUGACUAUAACCAGGUGCUCAAGAUGACAGGGAGACCAUAUUUUCUGAACAGUGACUGUCUUACCUUCCCGGGCAAAAGAAUUUCAUGGAACAAGCUGUGCCCACCUCACAAGGCUGUGGAGAGAAGCUGCAGAAUGGGGGUCCUAUGUCUGGCAUUCAGUGCUCCUGAAGGACAUGAGCCUUCAGAGCCCUGAACCACGUCAUGAAAUGUCCAGCUUCCCAAAGCUGCUGGAGAAGACACAUGUGGAGAGACACAGAGAGAUAAAGAAACAAUCUAGGGGCCUCUAGAAGUUCCAGACUCCAGCUGUCUUAGUUUCCCCAGUCUGACAUGUGAGGAGCGAGCAUUCAGAAUAUUCUAGCACCAGCCAUCGUGUUUCUACAACUGCAGGAGACAUCCUGUGUGAAAACCACCUGACUAAGCCCAGUCAGCCUCCCAAACCAGGCAAACUAAUAACAAGAUGCUGUUAUUUUACACCACUAAGCUUUUGGGUGGUUUGUUAUGGGGCAAUAGAUAACCCAAACAUUCUUUGAUUGUGAAACUAGUCAAAGCAGUUCAAGAAAGGGUGAGAUCAGCUGCACGUAACAUUAGCUAAUACCUCUCUGGAACCCAGGUGACCUGGGAACACCAAAGUCAGUGAAGGCAAUAAUCUCAGGGGGAAGAAACAGGUGUGAUGGUAAUCAAGAAAGCUCGUUUCCAUCGGGGGUAAUAUACCAGAGCUGAAGGAAGACUGAAAAGCAGGGAUCGUGGAAUCUGUGGAAAGGAGAGCUGCUGACAAGAUUUUUCUUGUCCCCCCUACCCCCCGGACUGUUCAAUAAACAAAGACAUUGGGUCUGGUGAAUUAUGACAACAGAAAUGGUUGAUGAAGCUUUUACAAAUGCCCUGGAUUCUAUGUCCUGUAGGACUAACUGCUCACCCUGUGCAGACCCCGCUGCCCACACAGGAAGCUGAUUUGUAUCAGGCUUCCCUCUAGAUUUCCCCGUAGGGAGAAACUCUGAUGACCAGACAAGGGGCAGUAAUAAUUCUCUGUUGGUGAGAGAUAUUGCCUUUAUACACCAAUGCUUUACGAGAUUAGUUAAUGUAAAUCAGUCUCCUAUAACUUUGUCAACUCUGAGUGAACUGAGAAAGAAUGAGUCCCUAAAUGGGAGGAUCUGACAGGCGGAAAGGGACCCGGUGACUCCCCCAAGACUUUUCUCUCUGGCCUCACUCAGAGUUGGCAUUAGACAGAACACUCGAAGUGUCCAGCUCAUAUCUGACCAACAAGACUGCUGUUUGUGAUGGUCACUGAUGUUGGGCAACAUGGAACCUAAGACCUUCUGCUUUAGUGACAUAAAAUAUCGGCAUGAUAGAAACAGCACAGAUUCUGGACUCUUAACUACACCAAAUCCUAAUCUCUGUUCUACAAUAAAUCAAACUGUCCCUCAUUUUAUUAGUUUUCCCCUACCAUUGUCACUAAUAAUGACCACAGUACUAAUAUUUGUAGUAACGACAACAAUACCUUAAGGGCUUACUUAGUGCCAGGCCCAUUGUUGAAGGAGUAUAAAAAAUAUUUUAAUCAAUGUUUAGUGGUAUCAUUAGUGAUUUAAAAAAUCAGGUUAUUGAGGUAUAAGUUACAUAGAGUAAAAUUCACCCUUUUAAGUAUACAGUUCUCUGAAUUCUGACAAAUGUAUACAAUUGUGCCACCACCACCCAAUCAAUCAAAAUACAGAACAUUUCUGUCACUUCAAGAAGCUCACUUAUGCCCUAUUGUGUUCAGACUCCUAUCCCCACCUCUAGACUCUGGCAACCAUUGAAGUGUUUGUGGUCCUUACAGUUUUGCCAUUCCAGGAAUAGCACAGUUGUGCAGUAUUUUCAGUAUAUAACUUUUGGUCUUGUCUUCUUUCACUUAGCAUAAUACUUUUGAUGGAGAGAG